rnacentral:rRNA from 1 species
GACGAACGCUGGCGGCGUGCUUAACACAUGCAAGUCGAACGGAAAGGCCCUGCUUUUGUGGGGUGCUCGAGUGGCGAACGGGUGAGUAACACGUGAGUAACCUGCCCUUGACUUUGGGAUAACUUCAGGAAACUGGGGCUAAUACCGGAUAGGAGCUCCUGCUGCAUGGUGGGGGUUGGAAAGUUUCGGCGGUUGGGGAUGGACUCGCGGCUUAUCAGCUUGUUGGUGGGGUAGUGGCUUACCAAGGCUUUGACGGGUAGCCGGCCUGAGAGGGUGACCGGCCACAUUGGGACUGAGAUACGGCCCAGACUCCUACGGGAGGCAGAAGUGGGGAAUAAUGCACAAUGGGCGGAAGCCUGAUGCAGCAACGCCGCGUGCGGGAUGACGGCCUUCGGGUUGUAAACCGCUUUCGCCUGUGACGAAGCGUGAGUGACGGUAAUGGGUAAAGAAGCACCGGCUAAAUACGUG